rnacentral:piRNA from 1 species
UGAGCUUCAGACAAAUCCAAGCCUGAGCC